rnacentral:lncRNA from 1 species
AGGUAUCCGCCAUCUCGGUGUACCUUUCACCCAUUUUCGCGAUGACGUCCUCCACCAGCACAAGGCGGUCCUCCAAUGACGCCGAAUCCCUCGUGAUCCGCUGAGGGUCUUUGCUCUUGCUUCGUUUGGAGGGCUGCUUUGGAGGGUCGCCCCCAACGUCGACGAUUCCCGCAUCAGAUGACGACAUGGUUCCUCGCUCGAACCGGCUCUGAUACCAACUGUCACGGACUUAGCGUUUUCGUUCGCAAAGCCCGUGCGGCGCCCACCUUUCCUGCUCGAAGAUGGACAAGCCUUUGUCCCUAUUGCUAGCCCGGACCUUCGCGUCCUACGACUAAGUAUGCAAAGGGAAAUGACAAAGAGAAAGAGGCAGAGGUUCUCUCAAAAAAACUAAGUACUACACUACUUAGAAAUGAGAAUUACAACCUACAAACAGCAAACAAACACACUCUCUCUUGUGUGUCAUGGCCUUAGCCAACCCCACUAUUUAUAGGCCCAAAGGUGCCUUUUCAACUCACCCACUACCACAUAACUCACCCAUUAUUACAUACAUAAUGAGCCUACAUAAUGAGCCCUCAUAAAUGCCAAAAGCUCAAGAGUCACCCAUAACUCCCAUGAGUUUCAUGACCCUUGAGUUUCCCACAGCGGGUUGGGUUUGUGUCUACUUGCCAACCCGAUUCGACCCGUCUUCAACCCGAACUCGCUAAGCAGAUUUGGGUUAGGGACCGGGCUGCAUAGGAAUUUUUCUAAGUCCCUGACAAUAGGCUGUAUAAUCUAUAAAAGAGAAACUUUUAAACAUAUACUUAUGAAAAAGUAAAGACAAAUCAAUCAAACAGAGACUAGGAGAUACUCAUCGGCCAUCUUGUCAAUUUAUCGAGUACUAGCUCCUAAAACUUUCAAUUAUUUAGCGUAAAUCGUCAUUUUGCUUGCAGCAUCACGAUUGGUGGGCUGAUAACUUAUCGGCACAAUACAUGUUGACACUUGCCAUUAUCAGCGUCGACCCUGUAUGAAGACUUUUUCAUUUUAAACUCCGUCGCCACACAAUAACAGCGUGGUUGAGACAUGCUUACUGUGACAACUAGCAUAGCAAUCCAUUCUCAGGCUACUAAAGUGAGAGAAAGAUACGUAAAAAUUUCCUUACUAGACAAAAAGAUAGACAUAACUGUGAAACAAUCAUUUUUCUCCGAAAGCGUUCGCUAGAGAACAGCAUUUCUAAUAUUUUUAUAUCAUCAACACUUUUCAUGUCCGGACUCGAGAUAUUUUAACGGGCCCAUGGUAUGGAUUACAAGUUAAAAAUUUGGAUGUAGAUAAUAGUGGACAGCACUGGUGGCAUUCAAACUCUGGAUAUCUUAUUCUAACACUAUAUGAAACAACGGCCGGUCGGUAAAAAUUUAAUCAUUUUUAGCAUCUCAUACAAAUUAAUUACUAGACCUUCACAGCUUCGAUUCUUAAACGCCAAUGGCAUCAAACUUGCUCCACAUAACGAUUGUCAAUUACAUUGCGAAUCACUGUCAAAAGAUUAAGGCCCAGAUUGAAUGCAUGAAUAUGUUGUUCGACAAAUCUCUUUGAUUUACACAAAAGCUUGUAAUAUUUGGUAGAUAAGAGUGUGAUCAUAUGUCUAAUGGAAUAGCAUAUUCGGCCUUCAAAUCAGAAAAAAUCCUUUUCUGAGUAAGAUAAAUUAUCUCGCCAGUGAAAUACGCUAUCCUAAAAAAAAAAUUAUUAUUUCCAAUUAAUUAUACAUGAAAAUCCUUAUAUUUAACAUUCAAAUCUUUUUAGCAGAAUAUGAUCAAUCACAUUAUAAGUACACAGAAAAAGGACUAAACACAAACGAAAAUAAAUAAAAAUAACCAUCUCAGAAUGCAAAAAAAUAACUUAUUUCGACGUCCAAACAAAUCCUGCAACACUACAACAGGUACGAGCUUACAUCAAAACACCAAAAUGGGAAACAAAAUGAUUAAACAGAAACUAAUUGAUCAAUUGAUCACACUACAUAUAAACCAAAAUCCAACCACGAAAGGGAACAACAAAUAACGAGAAAGAAUAAAUUUUUUUUAAAAAAAAACUCACCGGAGGGGGAAGAGGAGGAGGCAUCGUCGUUGCUCUCCCCCAUCGCACUCAAACUCUUCUCCUCCUCCAUUCUCAUGCGCGUGUGUGUGUUUUAGAGAGAGAGAGAGAGAAAGAAGAGAGAGAGAAUCCGAUUCGAAAUACG